rnacentral:rRNA from 1 species
CACGUAGGGCGCAAGCGUUGUCCGGAAUUAUUGGGCGUAAAGAGCUCGUAGGCGGUCUGUUGCGUCCGCUGUGAAAACUCGGGGCUUAACCCCGAGCCUGCAGUGGAUACGGGCAGACUAGAGGUAGGUAGGGGAGAAUGGAAUUCCCGGUGUAGCGGUGAAAUGCGCAGAUAUCGGGAGGAACACCGGUGGCGAAGGCGGUUCUCUGGGCAUUACCUGACGCUGAGACGCGAAAGCGUGGGGAGCAAACAGG